AUUGAACGCUGGCGGCAGGCCUAACACAUGCAAGUCGAGCGGAUGAAGGGAGCUUGCUCCUGGAUUCAGCGGCGGACGGGUGAGUAAUGCCUAGGAAUCUGCCUGGUAGUGGGGGAUAACGUCCGGAAACGGGCGCUAAUACCGCAUCCGUCCUGAGGGAGAAAGUGGGGGAUCUUCGGACCUCACGCUAUCAGAUGAGCCUAGGUCGGAUUAGCUAGUUGGUGGGGUAAAGGCCUACCAAGGCGACGAUCCGUAACUGGGCUGAGAGGAUGAUCAGUCACACUGGAACUGAGACACGGUCCAGACUCCUACGGGAGGCAGCAGUGGGGAAUAUUGGACAAUGGGCGAAAGCCUGAUCCAGCCAUGCCGCGUGUGUGAAGAAGGUCUUCGGAUUGUAAAGCACUUUAAGUUGGGAGGAAGGGCAGUAAGUUAAUACCUUGCUGUUUUGACGUUACCAACAGAAUAAGCACCGGCUAACUUCGUG
rnacentral:rRNA from 1 species